rnacentral:rRNA from 1 species
ACGAACGCUGGCGGCGUGCUUAACACAUGCAAGUCGCACGGAAAGGCCCUGCUUUUGUGGGGUGCUCGAGUGGCGAACGGGUGAGUAACCCGUGAGUAACCUGCCCUUGACUUUGGGAUAACUUCAGGAAACUGGGGCUAAUACCGGAUAGGAGCUCCUGCUGCAUGGUGGGGGUUGGAAAGUUUCGGCGGUUGGGGAUGGACUCGCGGCUUAUCAGCUUGUUGGUGAGGUAGUGGCUUACCAAGGCUUUGACGGGUAGCCGGCCUGAGAGGGUGACCGGCCACAUUGGGACUGAGAUACGGCCCAGACUCCUACGGGAGGCAGCAGUGGGGAAUAUUGCACAAUGGGCGGAAGCCUGAUGCAGCAACGCCGCGUGCGGGAUGACGGCCUUCGGGUUGUAAACCGCUUUCGCCUGUGACGAAGCGUGAGUGACGGUAAUGGGUAAAGAAGCACCGGCUAACUACGUA